rnacentral:lncRNA from 1 species
ACUCACGAACAAAUCAUCACUAUCCAACAAAAACCCUAAAAUCACUCUGUCAUCUUUCACGAACAAAUCGUGCAUCAUUGAGCGCCAUGGCCACCGUCUGAGCUUUCUUCCGUCGAGAUUUUGAGCUCUCUUCUCUCUGCGAUUUGAACGUUCAUUCGUCACUUCUUUAUGCUUAAUAAGUCACUUCUCCCUGUGAUUUUGUAAGAUUUGNNN